rnacentral:lncRNA from 1 species
UCUUUGAUAUUGUAAAACUUAAUAUAUAUAUAUGUUAAAUUGCAAUUGCAAGUGAAAAAAAGCUAGAAAGUAGAAUUAUAGUAGAAUAACAUUAUUUCAGCUAUUUUUGCCAUAUUGACUACCUGAAGAAAGUGUGGAUUGUGUGUGUGUGUGUGUUCAGGUUUAACGUCUUUUUUUUACAAUUUUUCAGUCAUAUAAAUGGCGGUGUCUACUUGAAGCAGUGAGCACUCAAUAGUACACUAAGCUGUAUUGCCCUGUGAGAAUAUUCAGUUCAGAUUGUAGUUAAUUUUACCUGAAAACAGUAAAUAGUUCUUGAGAUCUAGAAGCCAGUAAGGCAAGGAAUAAUGAAAAGGCUGCUUUGUGAUUGAUAGUUUUAGUAUUUAAACUGUUUGUUAUAGCAGAGUGUUACAUAUACAUGUACUUGGUUUUGAGGUUUUAUAUUACAUUAUAAUAGUUUCAGUGAGGGGAAAAAGGAUUUUGAUACAAAUGUUCAUAGAAAAAUUGUUGUGAGUGGCACUUUCUUACAAUUUCACAUUUUCUUUGCAGUCAGAUUGAGACAUAUAUUGCUCAUACACUGUUACAAUAUUUAAUCUGAGAUAUUAUAACCAGCUUAAAUCAUUUUUCAGACGUUUGGCUGCAGGACUUUAAGUCUCACACAAGUUGCUGGUUCAGUCGCAUGAAUGGUCAGUGGAAUUCACAAGAGUCACUGGAAAAAUUAGGAGAACCAGUUGAAGUUGCUCAGAAACUGAACCAGCUGGCAAAAACAGAAUAUGGUCAAUGAGAUAAAUGUGUGAUAAAGCAGGAAGGAAAGAGCAGCUCACCAGUAACUGAUGUGAUAAAAAAUUAGCUUCUUAAUAGGGCAUGAAGCAGGGGAGCUUUUUACAGCAUCUGAAAAAAACAGCAGUUGAGCUAGGAUUCAGGAAGGAUAUCAAGCUGCCCAGAAAAUUUGAUGAUUUAAAUGUUUUGACAAAGUCUUAAAAUUCUCAAAGCACUGAUGGACAAAAAUUCAAUCCAGUCACAACAUAAUUACAGCUAAGGCGUGUAAUGGGAUGGACAUUGUCUAGGACUGAUAAUUCAUGGAGAUUUUGAUCUGUUAUUACAAGAAAUUCUUCCUGAGUGUGUUCCAAAGUGUGAUGUCAUGAUAAGAUGUGUAAGGGGUUUUUAUCCGCAGUCUUCGUUAGCUGCUGUUUUAAUAAAAACUGCCUAGACAAUGUUAAUUAUACAUAUAUUUAUGGUAUACUUCCUCUUAAAAAUAGAUUUUGGGUACAAGUUGUAAUAUUGUUUGCAGAAUUCUAAACGACGAAUGACUUAUGAUAAGUAUUGUUAGUGGAAAUUUCUAAAAUUAAUUUGCAAAUAUAAGAUAAUUCAAAAUUAAGGAAAUCUUCCAGUUGAAAACACAACAUCGAUAACAUCAUUGAAAUAUGAUCAGUUUGGGCAAUUGAUGUCAGUUUUUGAAAAGGCAUACCUUCUUACAGUGUUACAAGCUUUAAGUGAAGUGAAGUCAGUGGAAAUAUUGCAAAUUAUGUUGUUUUUUUUGUUUUGCGUCAUUGAAGUAUAUUAAUUUAAAGCCUAAACAUUUUUUGAACAGUCCUUGUAUGUAAAGGUUUUGGGAUUGUAAAUAAAUACAACUCAUAGAAACGCAGUCAGAAACCAGUGUCAAAAUAUUAGAAAGAGGUUCUCCCUGUUGUUUUAGCCCACCUGAGCGAAAAGUUCUUAUGAUGUACUUGGAUAGUUGGAUGUCCAACCCCCAUAUAUCAUUGUCUACAAUUUCUUAAAGAACAUUGCCUUCUUAACCACUUUGUAGGUUUAAGAAGACUUUACAGGAAUGUUUCUUUGGUUAUCCCCUUUCAGAAUCCUUCACAUCUAAUUCAUUCCUGCAGAAUUCUUGUUUUGCCAUUCCAGUCAAAAGGAAACAUUUAAAAAGAUCAUCAUCUUAGACAGAGCUCCCCUGAUUUUGAUCUAGCAUGACAGAUAAUAUGUUCAUUGGGUGACCCUCUACCGUAUUCCUUCAAUCACUUUGUUUUGUUAAAAAACAUGUCGGCCAGAUAGCAGAAAUAGUUUUCCCUAUAUGUAUAUGGCUAUAAAGAGAACUUUGAAACUGCACGAUUGAUUUUAGAAUAUUUUACAGCAAUGUUUUCAAACUGCAUGUAAGUAUUGUCUGUAUUAAUUAUAUUACAAUAAUGGAAUACUUACAUAUGUUUGAAAGAAUAAAAUUUAAUAAAAGGACCAAAACAAUUGAACAAAUGAAAUGAGAAUAAAGUAAAUUGUUUUCUUGUACAUUUAUUGUAUAUAGCUAUCUGGGAGAAGCAUUAUCAGUUAGUUUCUUUAAUUGACAAUAGAAUUAUGCAGAAUAAAAUUGUGUUAUACUUUGGGGGAAAACUGUUUUCAUUAUGUGUUGUGCUGUUUCAUCACAUAUAAGCUAAAAGUGCUCAAGGUGAGCUACUGGUGGUCUUCCUUCCUGCACUGUAAACAAUUUGACUGUUAACACUCUGUCACAACUUUAGCCCAGUCUUAAGGUAUUAGACGACUAAUAGAGUACCUCCUUUUUGAAGAGUAUUCAAUUCGUACCAUAAACCUACUUUUACUGCUAUUCUCAAUGGGGCGUAGGUUCAAGCCCUACUGGGACCAAAUUUUCAUGCCCCCCGGCA